GAUUUGCUUGAUCACUGAGGUGUCAAAGAAUUUAAGCCAAAAUACCAAAUGCAAGUAGAUCGAUUUUUUUUUUUUUAUUCUCAAGGAAGUGCAUAUUUUACCAGAAUCUUCUUCCAUAAUGGUACGGAACAAUAGUAUCAUUGGAGUAGAUACACGAAUCACUUUAAAUAUAAGAAGUUGAGUAGGUGGAUUGGUACGAGUGGAAAGGAAAAAAAAAAUUUGAACUUAAAAUCUUUUCUGGAGAUAUCCAUUUUGCUGUAGAGAUGGAUAAGAUAUUUCAACACAGCGGCAUCUUGAUACCACCAGGAACGAUAAACAAAAUUGUAAGGAAUCAAAAAAAUUGAAAAAUUGGAUCUAUGUCCAAUGGAUCACACCUACCAAGAAAAAAUAUUUUGUUUUGGUUUAGCCCAUAAUCAUAUAUGAAAUAGCAGACGGUAUAAAUUUAGAAACACUUUUCCCCCGGGACCAAUUGCAGGGAAGUGAUAAUCUAGAACUUAGAGUUGUAAAUUAUAUUCUUUAUGGAAAUGGCAAACCAAUUCAGGGAAUUUCUAGCUGUAAACGAUGGAUACUAGGCGCUGUACGUAUCGACCCAUGUAGUGCUGUAGCUAACGCGUUAAGUAUCCCGCUUGGGGAGUACGUUCACAAGAAUGAAACUCAAAGAAAUUGAUGGGGCCCACACAAGUGAUGGAGCAUGUGGUUUAAUUCGAAGCAAAGUGAAGAACCUUACUAGGGCUUGACAUGCCACGAAUCCUCUAGAAAGAGAGGGGUGCUUUCGGGAAUGCGGACACAGGUAGGGCAUGGCUGUCAUCAGCUCAUGUCGUAAGGUGUUCGGUUAAGUCUCACAACGAGCGCAACCCUCAUGUAUAGUUGCCAUUGUUGAGUUUGGAACCCUGAGCAGAUUGCUAGUGAUAAGCCUGAGGAAGGUAAGGAUGACAUCAAGUCAGCAUGUCCCUUAUGCCUUGGGUGACACACGUGCUAUAAUGGCUAGGAUGAAGGGUCGUGAUCCCGCGAGGGUGAGCUAACUCCAAAAACCCAUCCUUAGUUCGGAUUGUAGGCUGCAACUCGCCUACAUGAAGCCGGAAUUGCUAGUAAUCAGUGGUCAACCAUACGACGGUGAAUUCAUUCCCGAGCCUUGUACACACCGCCCGUCACACUAUGGGAGCUGGCCAUGCCCGAAGUCAUUACCUUAACAGCAAGGAAGAGGAUGCCGAAGGCAGGGCAAGUGACUGGAGAGAAGUCAUAACAAGGUAGCCGUACUAGAAGAUGCGGCUG
rnacentral:rRNA from 1 species